rnacentral:rRNA from 1 species
GCCUUAACAUGCAGUCGAACGGCAGCACGGGCUUCGGCCUGGUGGCGAGUGGCGAACGGGUGAGUAAUACAUCGGAACGUGCCCUGACGUGGGGGAUAACUAGUCGAAAGAUUAGCUAAUACCGCAUACGACCUGAGGGUGAAAGCGGGGGACCGGUAACGGCCUCGCGCGACAGGAGCGGCCGAUGUCUGAUUAGCUAGUUGGUGGGGUAAGAGCCUACCAAGGCGACGAUCAGUAGCUGGUCUGAGAGGACGAUCAGCCACACUGGGACUGAGACACGGCCCAGACUCCUACGGGAGGCAGCAGUGGGGAAUUUUGGACAAUGGGGGCAACCCUGAUCCAGCAAUGCCGCGUGUGUGAAGAAGGCCUUCGGGUUGUAAAGCACUUUUGUCCGGAAAGAAAUGGCGCUGGUUAAUACCCGGCGUCGAUGACGGUACCGGAAGAAUAAGCACCGGCUAACUACGUGCCAGCAGCCGCGGUAAUACGUAGGGUGCGAGCGUUAAUCGGAAUUACUGGGCGUAAAGCGUGCGCAGGCGGUUUGAUAAGACAGGCGUGAAAUCCCCGAGCUCAACUUGGGAAUGGCGCUUGUGACUGUCAGGCUAGAGUAUGUCAGAGGGGGGUAGAAUUCCACGUGUAGCAGUGAAAUGCGUAGAGAUGUGGAGGAAUACCGAUGGCGAAGGCAGCCCCCUGGGACGUCACUGACGCUCAUGCACGAAAGCGGUGGGGAGCAAACAGGAUUAGAUACCCUGGUAGUCCACGCCCUAACGAUGUCAACUAGUUGUUGGGGGAUUCACUUCUUCAGUAACGUAGCUAACGCGUGAAGUUGACCGCCUGGGGAGUACGGUCGCAAGAUUAAAACUCAAAGGAAUUGACGGGGACCCGC